rnacentral:rRNA from 1 species
GAUCCAGGAGCUUGCUCCUGGGGAUUAGUGGCGAACGGGUGAGUAACACGUGAGCAAUCUGCCCUUGACUCUGGGAUAAGCGCUGGAAACGGCGUCUAAUACCGGAUACGACCCUCGGAGGCAUCUCCUGGGGGUGGAAAGAACUUCGGUCAAGGAUGAGCUCGCGGCCUAUCAGCUUGUUGGUGAGGUAAUGGCUCACCAAGGCGACGACGGGUAGCCGGCCUGAGAGGGUGACCGGCCACACUGGGACUGAGACACGGCCCAGACUCCUACGGGAGGCAGCAGUGGGGAAUAUUGCACAAUGGGCGCAAGCCUGAUGCAGCAACGCCGCGUGAGGGACGACGGCCUUCGGGUUGUAAACCUCUUUUAGCAGGGAAGAAGCGAGAGUGACGGUACCUGCAGAAAAAGCACCGGCUAACUACGUGCCAGCAGCCGCGGUAAUACGUAGGGUGCAAGCGUUGUCCGGAAUUAUUGGGCGUAAAGAGCUCGUAGGCGGUCUGUCGCGUCUGCUGUGAAAACCCGAGGCUCAACCUCGGGCUUGCAGUGGGUACGGGCAGACUAGAGUGCGGUAGGGGAGAUUGGAAUUCCUGGUGUAGCGGUGGAAUGCGCAGAUAUCAGGAGGAACACCGAUGGCGAAGGCAGAUCUCUGGGCCGUAACUGACGCUGAGGAGCGAAAGCGUGGGGAGCAAACAGGCUUAGAUACCCUGGUAGUCCACGCCGUAAACGUUGGGAACUAGAUGUGGGGACC